rnacentral:tRNA from 1 species
GCCGAUGUAGCUCAAUAGGCAGAGCAGUGCUUUUGUAAAGCAAAGGUUGUCGGUUCGAUUCCGACCAUCGGCU